AGUGAAUGCUGGCGGUAGGCCUAACACAUGCAAGUCGAACGGCAGCACAGUAAGAGCUUGCUCUUACGGGUGGCGAGUGGCGGACGGGUGAGGAAUACAUCGGAAUCUACUUUUUCGUGGGGGAUAACGUAGGGAAACUUACGCUAAUACCGCAUACGACCUACGGGUGAAAGCAGGGGAUCUUCGGACCUUGCGCGAUUGAAUGAGCCGAUGUCGGAUUAGCUAGUUGGCGGGGUAAAGGCCCACCAAGGCGACGAUCCGUAGCUGGUCUGAGAGGAUGAUCAGCCACACUGGAACUGAGACACGGUCCAGACUCCCACGGGAGGCAGCAGUGGGGAAUAUUGGACAAUGGGCGCAAGCCUGAUCCAGCCAUACCGCGUGGGUGAAGAAGGCCUUCGGGUUGUAAAGCCCUUUUGUUGGGAAAGAAAAGCAGCAGGUUAAUACCCCGCUGUUCUGACGGUACCCAAAGAAUAAGCACCGGCUAACUUCGUG
rnacentral:rRNA from 1 species